GAAGCAACUUCAUCUCUAUGGACACAGUGCCUGGGAUGUUCUCCCCCACCCCACUCCUGAGCCCCACUGAAAUGAAGGGGAGCUGACAGAGAACAGUACCCAGCACAGCUUGCUGCUCAUUUCAAUAGGGCGUGUGCAGGGGGACAGCCCAGUGGAUCGUGUCCAGUGCAUUUGUAGGAUUAGGAAGAAUGCUUGCAGAAAUGCCCUUGAAUAAGAUUCAAGUAUUUUGUUUCGUGCGUAUUUCCAACCCAUCACAUCAGCUGCACGCAUCGUAGCGUCUACCAGACCCAGGGCUCCUAGAAGCUUCACCGGACUGCCAUUGAUCCUCAGAGAGACUCCCUUCUUGUUGCUGCCACAGUAGGUGAAGAGGAGAUUGCUCUGGCCAAUCAUCUGCAUGGAAAAUCCGACAUGAAUGGCCAAAUUAACUUCCAGUGUGGGAGAGAAAAGUGGGACAAUUAUGCCAAAUUUUGACAGGAAGGGCUGCUAGCUAAACUUU
rnacentral:lncRNA from 1 species